GUGACGCUAUGGAGUAUAGGUGGCACUGAGUGUCGGACAACAAUGUGACCUAUGGUGUAGGUGGCACUGAGUGUUGGGCAGCGAUGUGACCUACUGAGUACUAGGGAUCGGCGCUGAUUGUCGGACAGCAGUGAUGUAACCUACGGUAUAGGUGGCGCUGAUUGUCGGACAGCAGUGAUGUAACCUACGGUAUAGGUGGCGCUGAGUGUCUGACUGAGCGAUGUGGUAUUACAGCGGCCCACUCCCAACACCACGGAAAGUUUCAGUAGUUUUUUUUCUCAGCUGUUGUCUUGCUUACCCCACGAGUCCUACUUUGUUUGAGAAUUGUAAUGAUAAUAAAAGUACUAUUGUAUUGCGUUUAUAAAAACGCGGCCGCUUUGUUGUUUGCUUGUUGUUGCCAAUGUGUAUGCCACUAAGUGCGGUAAAGUAUACAUAUAUCUAUGUAUAUAUAUAUAUAUAUAUAUGUAUAUAUAUAUAUAUAUAAUUAUAUAUGUACCUCGCACUGUUUGGUAUUCGUUUUCGGAGCAGCUGUAACAAAAAUGACGCAUGAAAUAAAUGAUUAUUAAUUAUUUACAUCCAUUUUUUAUGUCGAAUAAAAUUACAUUAAACUUUA